GUGGGGCAGCUGUGCUGAGUCUGUGUGGUAGCUUCGCAUCACAGUAGCAGCGAAGGGGCACAGUUCUGUCAGCCUGUGUGUGGCACAGUUGGUGAGGAAAGGCAGGCCACCAUCAGCUGGGGCAGGGAACAAAAGUACAAGCUUCCAAUUGGGCACGUGGGUGUGAAAAAGCACAGCUUUUUGCUCUCCAAGGAAUGAGGUGCACUUUCUGACACGACACAGGUUUUGCCUUCAUGCUUCCUCUGUGCCCAGUGGCAUUAGAGGGGCUGUUGGCUGGUCAGCAUGGAUCUCAGUAAUAACAACCACAUCACUGGGAUACAUACCAUCUCUUCAGCAGGACUGAAGGUUUCUUUCUUCACUGGAAUAGUUUCCUGACCUGCUGUGACUGUUUAAUAGGAAAGGUUGAAGACACAAGACAUGUUGGCACUCUUCCAUGAGAAGAAAACUGUAUUUGAAACUCCAAUGUACAUUUAUUAAUCCAUCUCUAUGCUUAAGUCAAAGUAUGGACAAUAGAUAAGAAUUUUGAAAUAUUUCCUCUAACUCUCUGGAUUUGUUCCCAUUUCAGCCCUUUAUCUGGCAGUUCUCAUCUUCUGUAUUCUUUUAAAAUGCGUUAAAUCAGUUUACGAGACCUCCACAAUAUGUAAUAUAUUAUUUUUUUUAAUCCAAACAACACUCAAAAGCAAAGUUGGAGUUUUUUUUUUUUAAAUUUAAUUUUAUUUCAUUUUUAGUAUAUUUCUGUUUAGAGGAAGGAUUCCUAAGAUUAAAAAAGUCAUAAUUGAUACACUUAAUUGGCACUUUGGCAGUAGGCAAGACCUUUAAAUAAAUGGUGUUGAGCAAUGUUGACAGACAGCUUGCAAAUACCAUACAGUUA